rnacentral:rRNA from 1 species
UACAGAGGUCUCAAGCGUUGUUCGGAUUCAUUGGGCGUAAAGGGUGCGUAGGCGGGCAGGUAAGUCCGUGGUGAAAUCUCUGAGCUUAACUCAGAAAACUGCCAUGGAUACUAUUUGUCUUGAAUGUUGUGGAGGUAAGCGGAAUAUGUCAUGUAGCGGUGAAAUGCUUAGAUAUGACAUAGAACACCAAUUGCGAAAGGCAGCUUACUACACAAAAUAUUGACGCUGAGGCACGAAAGCGUGGGGAUCAAACAGG